GGGGUUGUGGCUCAGUGGUAGAGCACUUGCCUAGCAUGCAAGAGGCACUGGGUUCAAUUCUCAGCACCA
rnacentral:tRNA from 1 species